GGUGCGGUGGCCUAAUGGUUAGUGCGCUGGACUCCGGAUCGAGCGGUCUGGGUUCGAGCGCUGACCAUUGUCA
rnacentral:tRNA from 1 species